CCGAAUUUCCAUGGGCUCGUUGCAUCACUCUCCAUCUUCUCCUCCAUCCAUGCCCAAGGUAGAAUUCCUUCAAUCUGUAGAGAUGGGAUUAAACCCAUGAGUUGAAAAACUCAAUAGGUGUCAUAGGUGCAUUCGUGAUCAAGCUAUACAUUUCAAAAUAUUAACUUUAUAACUUUUCAUACAUGCCGUACCCGGAGGCAUCAUUUGACAUGAAGGGGUAUGCCGUCCCCAAGGGCACCAUUUGACAUAUGAAUAUUUCUUCAAUAUAGAGGGGUAUGCCGUACCGGAGUACCAUUUGACAUACAACCAUUAACAUAGAGGGAUAUGCCGUACCGAGUACCAUUUGACAUACAAACAUUACAUGAAUCAAAACUUAUAACUUAACACGAUUAAACACAUUGCACCUCUACCUACCUUGAUUGAUGCUUUUGAAACUUUGAAAACUUGGAUUGAAAACUUCUAUGAAACUUGGACGUUGAAAGAAAUGCACUCCUUGGAUAUUUGAAAACAGUUGAGAAUUGAUGCUUGAAAACACUUCUUAAACUUCUAGGAAAAAUGGUCUUCCUCCCUCUCUUUUUCUCUCUUGGAAACUCUUUCUUUAUUAUGUAAAAGCUCUUGCUUUUGGUGUGAGAAAAAAUGAGUAAAAUGAGAUCUUUAUUUAUAGGUAAAUAGCCCAUAACUUAAAGCAAAUGAAGGGUGAAAUUUCAUUUAAGAGAGAAAACAUGGGUGCCAUUUAAGUUUGAGGUUAAAUGCUUCAAUUUAGUGGGGUUUUUUGAGAAAAUAAUUGAUGGAAAUAAAUAUUUAAAUUCUAGAGAAAAACGAGAAUUUUCAUUUCAGGUAGUUUCGGUCGACCGGUUGUAGUCCGAUUGACACUGCACAGCUUUCAGUGUUUCUAUCAUAACUUUUUCUCCCGAUAUCCGAUUGAGGUAAUUAAAAGUGCAUUGGAAAGCUAACUCAAAGAGCUACAACUUUUAUUUAGAUAUAAUAUUCCAAAUCGAGUUUUUCCUAUGUCGAAAAUGGGUCUCAAUUGAGACUAAAAAUCUGAAGUAUACUUUAGUCAUCCAAUAUUCAUGUCUUAGUGCCACUAAGGUGUCUAGAAUUAUUUGGGGUUCUACAUCGCCCACACCUUAAUUAAAAUUUCAUCCUCGGAAUUUACCUUCUGAUUGGAAGAAUAGUGUUAGAUACUUGUCUUUGGCUUCUUCUACGCCGUGAUGAUUCCACUGUAUUUUAACCAGCUGAAUCUCUUUAUUCCUUAGUUUAUGCACUUUUCAAUCCAAUAUCUUGAUCGGUAGUUCCUUGUACGACAAAUCUUUCUGUACCUCCAAGGUUUGAUAACUCACUACAUGAUUAGGAUCAUGUACAUACUUCUUUAUCAUCAAUAUAUGGAACACAUUGUGCACUGUCGAUAAUUUAGGUGGCAAAGCUAGUCGGUAAGCUACAUUUCUGACUCUAUCAAGUAUCUCGAAAGGUCCGAUAUACCGGGGUCAUAGCUUGCCUUUCUUUCCAAAUCUAAGUACAUCUUUCAUUGGUGCUACUUUCAAAAACACUUUAUCCCCAACUUGGAAUUCUAAAUCUUUCCUCCUUGUAUCUGCAUAGCUCUUUUGUUGAUCCUGUGCUACCUUUAUUCUUGCACGGAUCUUAUCGAUUACCUCGACCGUCCUUUCAACUAUUUCUAGUCCCAAAACUCUCUUCUCUCCGACUUUAUCCCAAUGAACAUGGAAUCUACAUCUUCUACCAUAGAGAGCUUCGUAUGGUGCCAUUCCAAUAGUUGCUUGGAAACUAUUAUUAUAAGCGAACUCUACUAGAGGUAAGUAUGACUCCCAAUUACCUCCUAGAUCCAAAACACAUGUUCUCAGCAUGUCUUCCAAAGUUUGGAUGGUCCUUUCAAACUGACCAUCGGAUUGAGGGUGAUAUGCUGUACUAAAGUUCAGCUUCGUUCCCAUAGCUCAUUGUAGACUUUUCCAAAAUUUGGACGUGAACCUUGGGUCUCUGUCAGACACAAUGGAUACAGGUACACUGUGUAAUCUCACAACCUCUUUAUUGUAUAACUGUGUCAAUUGGUCUAAACUGAAUGUCAUUUUCACUAGAAGAAAAUGAGCUGACUUUGUUAGUUGAUCCACUACUACCCAUAUAGCAUUAUUUCCUCUUGCUGACUUCGGGAAUCCAACUACAAAGUCCAUCGUGAUAUUUUCCCAUUUCCAUUCAGGUAUAUCUAGUGGAUUUAACAAUCCAGUUUGUUUUUGGUGCUCUGCCUUAACCUGUUGACAUACCAUGCACUUCUGCACAUACAGCCCUAUACUUAUUUUCAUAUUUCUCCACCAAAAUAUAUCUCGAAGAUCUCGAUACAUUUUCGUACCAUCGGGAUGUGCGGUGUAUGGGGUGGAAUGAGCUUCUUUCAGUAUCUCGUUUCUCAAGGCUUCAUCCUUAGGCACGUAAAUUCUUCCUCUAAAUAUUAGUGCCUGAUCCUCAGCUACUCCAAAGUCCUUUUUCUUAUCGGUACCAACUUUAUUCUUAAUCUUCUGCAAAAAUGAGUCUUUAUUUUGUGCUGCUAUAAUUCGAUCUCUAAGAGUAGGUCAAUUUAUUAAAGCUGCUAGACGAGCAGUGACUUAUCUUGGUGUAGUAACCACUUCGAUCUGCAACUUUUCCAAGUCCUUGACUAACUCCAAUUGAGAGGUGGGUAGUGACAUCAAUUGUCCCAUUGAUUUUCUGCUUAAAGCGUCAGCCACAACAUUAGCCUUACCCGGAUGGUAGUGAAUAGUGCAGUUGUAAUCGUUCACCAAUGCCAACCAUCGUCUUUGUCGUAUAUUCAAUUCCUUUUGUGUGAAGAAAUACUUGAGAAUUUUGUGAUCUGUGUAGAUAUCACACUUCCGUCCAUACAAGUAGUGUCGCCAUAUCUUCAAAGCGUGUACUAUGGCUGCAAGUUCUAAAUCAUGCGUCGAGUAGUUCUGCUCAUGUUUCUUCAAUUGUCUUGAAGCAUAGGCUAUCACUUUUCCAUUCUGCAUUAGUACACAUCCCAAUCCUCGCUUGAAUACGUCGCUGUAUAUAACAAAUCCUUCCGUACCUUCAGGUAUUGUUAAUACAGGUGCUCAUAUCAACUUCUGCUUAAGUUCUUGGAAACUUUAUUCGCAUUUUUUCGUCCGUUGGAAUUUUACUCCCUUCCUUGUAAGCUGCGUCAUUGGUCCAACUAUUUUGGAGAAUCCUUCUAUGAAUCUCCUAUAAUAUCCAGGCAAUCCUAGAAAACUCCAUACUUCACCAACAUUUGUUGGUGUUUUCCAGUUGGUUAUUGCUUCUACUUUUGCUGGAUCUACUUCAAUCCCUUGGGUAGUAACUACUUGUCCAAGAAAUCCAACUCGUUCAAGCCAAAACUCGCACUUCUUAAAUUUAGCAUACAGCUUCUCCUUGCGUAAUACCUCUAAGGCUAUUCUCAAGUGCUCUUCAUGUUGCUCCUUACUCUUGGAAUAAAUCAGAAUGUCAUCGAUGAAGACUAUGACAAACAUAUCCAAGUAUUGAUGAAACACUCGAUUCAUCAGGUCCAUGAACACUGUAGGUGCAUUGGUUAGCCCAAACGGCAUCACCGUAAACUCGUAGUGUCCAUAUUGAUUUCUAAAAGCUGUCUUAGGUAUAUCCUUUGUCUCUAUUUUUAGUUGAUGGUAUCCCGAUCGUAAGUCGAUCUUGGAAAAUACCUUAGCUCCUUUCAGUUGAUCUAACAGAUCCUCGAUCCUUAGGAGUGGGUACUUAUUCUUGAUGGUUAAUCGAUUUAUCUCCCUAUAAUUGAUGCACAUCCUCAUGCUUCCAUCUUUCUUCUUUACAAACAACACCGGCACACCCCAUGGAGACACGCUUGGUCGUACGAAGCAUAUCUAGGAGUUCUUGCAACUGCUUCUUUAAUUCUUGUAGUUCCUUUGGGGCCAUUCGGUAUGGGGUCUUAGAUACUGGUGCCACCCCGGGAAUUAGGUCUAUGAUGAAUUCCACUUGUCUAUCGGGUGGAAUACCAUAUAGAUCUUCUGGAAACACAUCUACGAAUUCCCGUACUACUGGUACAUCUUCAACCCUUAUCGUCUCUUGUUUCCCUCCUGAGACACUUUCUAGAUAUCCUUGACAUGUUUCUUUUCUCAGCAUCUUCUCAGCUUGUAAAGCAGAUACUAGUCGAAUAAGGGGUUUCCUCUUCAUUCCAAGGAAUGAAAAUGGUUCCUCUCCUGGUUUCUGAAAUGAUACUUCCAUUUCCUUACAUCGGAUGGUGGCGUAAUUACAACCUAACCAAUCAAUGCCUAGUAUUACAUCAAAAUCCUUCAUUUCUAUCAUGUAUAGGUUUGCUUCCAUUGGUUUUCCCUCAACUUCGAUACUUACUGACUAGGCUAUUCUAUCAGUAUUCAAAGGGUUGCCUGAAGGAAUACUAACUUCUAAUAUACCUUUCGACUUAUCACAGGUAAUACUAGAUUUAGCCAUAAAGGAGUGUGUAGCUCCAACUCAAACAAUACAUAAGCAGGUGUAUUGGCUAUCAGUAGAGUACCUACUAUGACAAUUAGAGUUUUCAUCUGCAUCCUGUUGAGUCAAUGCAAAAACUCGUGCUUUCCCUUUCUGGUUCUAGUCACUGUUAUCAUCCUUCUUCUGGGUAUCAAAUUGCAUGAGCUCUUUCCAGCAUUUCACGAUAUGUGGUGAAGCAAUGGGACAUAAGUAUCAUGCUUAUAUCCGAGUUCAGCCCUUGUAAGCACUCACCACGAUGUGUCCUUCCACACUUAGAAUAGGGCGCAAUAAAUUCUAAUCCCUAUAAGUUCUACGGAUCUUCUUUGGUGGAACUUCAUCUUCGAAGGAGUCUUCCGCCUCAGGUCCGGACUCUAUGCCCAUCUCAACCUGUGGCUCCGGCUCAGGAUCAUUCUCUAGAUCAUCCUCGAGUUCUUCUUCGGGAUCUUCUUCCUAAACUAAAGGUUCAGGCUCCUAAUGGAUUACAUCAUUCCGCAAAUCAAUCAGGGCAUGGCAAUACCUCUCAAACUCGAACAGGUUUGGGUUGCCUUCUAACAUUUCAUCUCUAAUCGUGACUCCCAUAUCUCCCCAUUGAGGUGGAGGGAGUGUGUGAGGUUAUUUAUGGCCUCAAUAUGCGUGAUCCCCAUUCCAGCAUUAGCCGUCGUCGUACAUCUCUCAUAGAUGUCAUACACAUGUUCGCUAAGCGGUCGGGUCGGAUCAGUUACAUAGUUUUCAUAGGAAUGGAUAGCAAUUCUAUGAUUCAAUGCUUCUCUAUAUGCCCUAGCCGUUCUACGAGCCAUAUCUGUUGUAUUUUCACAUAUAUCAUACUUUUUCUUUGUUUAAAGAAAACAUGCAAAUAUUUAAAUUUUCAUAUCAUGCAAUUUCCUUUCAGCCCUUAGCUUUUGCCCAAAUCCAUUACAUAUCUUUAAAUAACACAUCUCUAAAUCCUAUCAAAGCAUCAUAACAUAAACAUAAUCAUUAACUUUAAACAUGAACAUACCUGGGCCAUAGGAUGAAAUUGAUGGAUGGAUGCACGAUGCCAUGGAAUACCUUAAACUUUUCAUUUUCCUUUUGUUUUUAAAAAAACAUACUUGGUCUAUAGAACCGGCUAAACCUUGCUCUGAUACCAUGUUGUAACACCCCGACCCCUAGUGGACCAGAACGCUACUUACUUUACUUAGCUUAACCGGUGGUUUAGUAACAAGUGUAUAUAUUUUAGCGGAAGCUUAGAUCUUCGGAUAAUAAUUUAAAUAACAAUACUUCAAAUACAUUAAACAAAAACACUGAAUCAUUUUUCAAAACAAACAAAUGUAAUUUAUUUGAAGAAAACAUAACUUGUUCUCGCAUUCUGCGUUAUUCAAAACUUUAAAGAAAUAACAUUGGAAAACAUUUCAUAAAAAUAAAUCCAAAUCACUUAUUCACCAGAUUUCCAUGGCUCGUUGCAUCACUCUCCAUCUUCUCCUCCAUCCAUGCCCGAGGUAGAAUUCCUUCAAUCUGUAGAGAUAGGAUUAAACCCAUGAGUUGAAAAACUCAAUAGGUGUCAUAGGUGCAUUCGUGAUCAAGCUAUACAUUUCAAAACAUUAACUUUAUAACUUUUCAUACAUGCCGUACUCGGAGGCACCAUUUGACAUGAAGGGAUAUGCCGUACCCGAUGGCAUCAUUUGACAUACGAACAUUUCUUCAACAUAGAGGGGUAUGCCGUACCGGAGUAACAUUUGACAUACAACCAUUAACAUAGAGGGAUAUGUCGUACCGGAGUACCAUUUGACAUACAAACAUUAACAU
rnacentral:lncRNA from 1 species